rnacentral:rRNA from 1 species
GAUCAUGGCUCAGGAUGAACGCUAGCUACAGGCUUAACACAUGCAAGUCGAGGGGCAUCAGGAAGAAAGCUUGCUUUCUUUGCUGGCGACCGGCGCACGGGUGAGUAACACGUAUCCAACCUGCCGAUGACUCGGGGAUAGCCUUUCGAAAGAAAGAUUAAUACCCGAUGGCAUAUCUGAAAGGCAUCUUUCAGCUAUUAAAGAAUUUCGGUCAUUGAUGGGGAUGCGUU